rnacentral:rRNA from 1 species
CCUACGGGCGGCUGCAGUGAGGAAUAUUGGUCAAUGGUCGGGAGACUGAACCAGCCAAGCCGCGUGAGGGAUGAAGGUACAGAGUAUCGUAAACCUCUUUUGUCAGGGAACAAAGGCGGGGACGUGUCCCCGGAUGAGUGUACCUGAAGAAAAAGCAUCGGCUAACUCCGUGCCAGCAGCCGCGGUAAUACGGAGGAUGCGAGCGUUAUCCGGAUUUAAUGGGUUUAAAGGGUGCGCAGGCGGUCUGUUAAGUCAGCGGUGAAAGGCCGGGGCUCAACCCCGGGCCCGCGGUUAAACUUGGCAGUCUCGAGUUGGGUAGAAGUAUGCGGAAUGCGCGGUGUAGCGGUGAAAUGCAUAGAUAUCGCGCAGAACUCCGAUUGCGAAGGCAGCAUGCCGGCUCCACACUGACGCUGAGGCACGAAAGCGUGGGUAUCGAACAGGAUUAGAUACCCUAGUAGUC